rnacentral:rRNA from 1 species
UACGAAGGGUGCAAGCGUUACUCGGAAUUACUGGGCGUAAAGCGUGCGCAGGCGGUUAUGUAAGACAGAUGUGAAAUGCCCGGGCUUAACCUGGGAACUGCAUUUGUGACUGCAUGGCUAGAGUUUGGCAGAGGGGGGUAGAAUUCCACGUGUAGCAGUGAAAUGCGUAGAUAUGUGGAGGAACACCGAUGGCGAAGGCAGCCCCCUGGGUCAAGACUGACGCUCAUGCACGAAAGCGUGGGGAGCAAACAGG